CUUGUAGGAGAGUCGGGCGAGCGUGGGAAACCACAGCUGGCGACCAGAUGGCGCCAGACCUGUGCAGAGGUGCAGACGCUGCGGACAUUUGAAGCAGUUUCUGCACUUGGCGAUGUUCCUUUCCUCCUGUCCCCGCACAGUUGACAGAGCUCUAUAGCAACACUGUGGUUGCCAGUUACUACAUUCCCCAGCGGACUUCACUGCACGCCGCGUCACUAGCAGACGCACUUUCAUGACGUCAUACGUCUGCGACCACGGCACGGCGGCGGGAGCCGGGAGAACACCGUCACCAUCAGGGAGUAUGUCACUAUAUAAGGUAAAUCAAGAAAGAAAGUAGUCCAAAUAUGAAAUCAAGAUAUCAAGCAAUCCAAAAUGAACAUACAGAAAACUUCUGAAUCAGAAACCAGCUGAUACCUCCGGACAGUAUCUAGAUAUUUAUAUGCCUCCGGGCCAUUUCAAGUCACUCAGUGGAAACCUUUUAACUGAGAACAUCACUGUUUUCUGCAUAAACCUGAUGGGAAGUUCUGCACAAGCAAGUUCCUACACAGCCGAUCCCUAUAUGUAGACUUCCAAUCUUUGGCUUCCUUUUUUCUUGUACACGGGGCCUUUUCCAUUUUGCUCUGCCGACUCAAUUAAUUUAAUGACCACGGGAUCCUUCUUGAACCUCACUGUAAACCUGGAUCACCAGAUAUUAUGAAGAAAUAAUUACGCAAUGUAAAACAACAUUCAUAUCUCUCUCUCUCUAUACAGUGCGGAUUGGUGAAGUCUGGUCAGAAUUUCUAUUACAUGGUCACUGGUUAGAAGGAUGUCAUUCCCCCCC